GGCUUUCUGAGGGAGAGUGUUUGUCACAGUCACAGUGUAUCAGCAAAUACCAGUUCAGUCCCUGGUGCAGCUACACAGCCUCUGCACAAGAGCUGGCUUCAAUGUGGACAGCCUGAAUACAGGCGGAAUUGGGAGGUUCUUCACCCGCACUUGACUGCUAGUGGAUCUAUUCCUAAACAACCACAUACAACAAGUGGAAGACAGAGAACUCUGAAAGGAGUGAAGUAAUGGAAAUAAGAGUAACUAUAAGUACAUUCCUUGGCUUAAGGUUGAAAGCAUGCACAGAGUAGAUGAUUUUGUUUUGUGUUGGAUGGUGACUUUCAGUCUUCUAUCAUCCUAAUAUGACACCUACACUCGAUAAAUGUCACCAAAGAACUGCACUCAGGCAGCAAUGGUGGUCCAUGCAAGCACCCCUGGGAUCCCACGCAGACUGCACAGGAUGAUUGGCAUGUGGUUUUACAGGAUAUUUACCUCCAAGAUUCAUUGAAGUGACUGGAAGGAUAGCUGAUCUUUCCUAUUCCUGCAACUAAUCCUGAUAGCAGACUGAAGAAAGCUCCCAUUUCAAGAGAUCAUGCAAGACAAUGUCUGUCUUCCUUUUGAAUUGUACUACUAAGCAACCCUGCCUCUUGCUAUGUUGUAUGUUCUAGGCAUGUUUUAGAGGAAAAAGAAACCAACAAACCACCAUCUACUUUUAUUCUUUCGUAUUUUCUUUACUACACCUCUAUGAAAUGAGAUGCAUACAGUGCCUGAAAUAAAAAGUAACAUUUUUAAGAGAAUAGAGACUCA
rnacentral:lncRNA from 1 species